GACGAACGCUGGCGGCGUGCUUAACACAUGCAAGUCGAACGGAAAGGCCCUGCUUUUGUGGGGUGCUCGAGUGGCGAACGGGUGAGUAACACGUGAGUAACCUGCCCUUGACUUUGUGAUAACUUCAGGAAACUGGGGCUAAUACCGGAUAGGAGCUCCUGCUGCAUGGUGGGGGUUGGAAAGUUUCGGCGGUUUGGGAUGGACUCGCGGCUUAUCAGCUUGUUGGUGGGGUAGUGGCUUACCAAGGCUUUGACGGGUAGCCGGCCUGAGAGGGUGACCGGCCACAUUGGGACUGAGAUACGGCCCAGAGUCCUACGGGAGGCAGCAGUGGGGAAUAUUGCACAAUGGGCGGAAGCCUGAUGCAGCAACGCCGCGUGCGGGAUGACGGCCUUCGGGUUGCAAACCGCUUUCGCCUGUGACGAAGCGUGAGUGACGGUAAUGGGUAAAGAAGCACCGGCUAACUACGUG
rnacentral:rRNA from 1 species